rnacentral:rRNA from 1 species
CUAUACAUGCAGUCGAGCGGACCGACGGGAGCUUGCUCCCUUAGGUCAGCGGCGGACGGGUGAGUAACACGUGGGUAACCUGCCUGUAAGACUGGGAUAACUCCGGGAAACCGGGGCUAAUACCGGAUGCUUGAUUGAACCGCAUGGUUCAAUCAUAAAAGGUGGCUUUUAGCUACCACUUGCAGAUGGACCCGCGGCGCAUUAGCUAGUUGGUGAGGUAACGGCUCACCAAGGCGACGAUGCGUAGCCGACCUGAGAGGGUGAUCGGCCACACUGGGACUGAGACACGGCCCAGACUCCUACGGGAGGCAGCAGUAGGGAAUCUUCCGCAAUGGACGAAAGUCUGACGGAGCAACGCCGCGUGAGUGAUGAAGGUUUUCGGAUCGUAAAACUCUGUUGUUAGGGAAGAACAAGUACCGUUCGAAUAGGGCGGCACCUUGACGGUACCUAACCAGAAAGCCACGGCUAACUACGUGCCAGCAGCCGCGGUAAUACGUAGGUGGCAAGCGUUGUCCGGAAUUAUUGGGCGUAAAGCGCGCGCAGGCGGUUUCUUAAGUCUGAUGUGAAAGCCCCCGGCUCAACCGGGGAGGGUCAUUGGAAACUGGGGAACUUGAGUGCAGAAGAGGAGAGUGGAAUUCCACGUGUAGCGGUGAAAUGCGUAGAGAUGUGGAGGAACACCAGUGGCGAAGGCGACUCUCUGGUCUGUAACUGACGCUGAGGCGCGAAAGCGUGGGGAGCGAACAGGAUUAGAUACCCUGGUAGUCCACGCCGUAAACGAUGAGUGCUAAGUGUUAGAGGGUUUCCGCCCUUUAGUGCUGCAGCAAACGCAUUAAGCACUCCGCCUGGGGAGUACGGUCGCAAGACUGAAACUCAAAGGAAUUGACGGGGGCCCGCACAAGCGGUGGAGCAUGUGGUUUAAUUCGAAGCAACGCGAAGAACCUUACCAGGUCUUGACAUCCUCUGACAACCCUAGAGAUAGGGCUUCCCCUUCGGGGGCAGAGUGACAGGUGGUGCAUGGUUGUCGUCAGCUCGUGUCGUGAGAUGUUGGGUUAAGUCCCGCAACGAGCGCAACCCUUGAUCUUAGUUGCCAGCAUUCAGUUGGGCACUCUAAGGUGACUGCCGGUGACAAACCGGAAGAAAGGUGGGGAUGACGUCAAAUCAUCAUGCCCCUUAUGACCUGGG